rnacentral:rRNA from 1 species
AUUGAACGCUGGCGGCGUGCCUAAUACAUGCAAGUCGAACGGAGUGGCGCACGGGUGCGUAAUAUAUAGCUAAUCUGCCCCUUGCUGGAGGACAACAGUUAGAAACGACUGCUAAUACUCCAUAGCAAGGGAUGAGACUAUAUCGUAUCAGCUUGUCGGUGGGGUAACGGCCUACCGAGGCUAUGACGCGUAACUGGUCUGCGAGGAUGAUCAGUUACAUUGGAACGGAGACACGGUCCAGAAUCCUACGGGAGGGAGCAGUAGGGGAUAUUGCGAAAGGGGGGAAACGCUGACGCAGCAACGACGCGUGGAGGAUGACACUUUUCGGAGCGGAAACUCCUUUUGUUAGGGACGCGGUACCUAACGAAUAAGCAACGGCUAACUCCGUGCCAGCCGCCGCGGUAAUAC